rnacentral:rRNA from 1 species
UCGAGAAUCUUCGGCAAUGGGCGCAAGCCUGACCGAGCGACGCCGCGUGGAGGAUGAAGGCCUUCGGGUUGUAAACUCCUGUCGAGGGGGAGGAAGGCCGGGCGACCGGCUUGACCGAUCCCUGGAGGAAGCACGGGCUAAGUUCGUGCCAGCAGCCGCGGUAAGACGAACCGUGCGAACGUUAUUCGGAAUCACUGGGCUUAAAGCGCGUGUAGGCGGAUGGGGACGUCGGUCGCUGAAAGCCCCCGGCUCAACCGGGGAACGGGCGCCGAAACGCCCCGUCUGGAGGGACGUAGGGGGACCUGGAACUUCCGGUGGAGCGGUGAAAUGCGUUGAGAUCGGAAGGAACGCCCGUGGCGAAAGCGAGGUCCUGGACGUCUACUGACGCUGAGACGCGAAAGCUAGGGGAGCGAACGG